AGGGGUUUAGCUCAAUAGCACAGCGCCUGCCUGGCAAGCACGAGGUCCUGAGUUCAAUCCCCAGUACCCCCC
rnacentral:tRNA from 1 species